AUGUCGGGUGUAAUGAUUGCACGGUGGUUGGAUUACUCACUACCAAGCGACCUGCGCGGGGAACAGGGUUCGGCCCAGUCGGGCGACGCCCCUGUGUGCAGCCCCAACAGUUUGUUGCAACGUGCGGCAAAUAGGGUUUUCCUUGGAGGCAGAUUGGAGUUUUUUCUGGCCAGUUUAUCCGGAGACGAGGCCGAGCACAGCGAACUGUGGGGAGAUGUCGUUGUGGCCAACUUCCGCGACAGGUUUCAUAAACCCAUCGCCUCCCUGUUGCCAAGGCCGACAGUGAAGCUCGCCAGGAAGAAGCACACUCCUCCAACAAAUGUUCGCCGGAGUGCAAGUACUAGAGGGGGUGUGGAUCUCACGGUGUCGUGCUCGCGGCCAUGGACGACGCCGUGGAGGAGCUCAAUCCUCCUCGCCAGAGCUACCGAGGUCGAUGUACUUCUCCCUCUGCUCCUCGCGAAUGCGCCGCCACUCGUCAUCCUUUUCCUUGGGGGCGAGGUUGGCCGCGACCGCGUGCUGGAACACGAGGUCUUUGAGCUCCUCGUCGUGGCGCCGACGAUCUGCCUCCUCGCGCAAGCUCCGCUCGGCAAUGGCGGCCGCGACCGCAUCGACAUCGGUGACGAAGUCCUCCGGCCCGACGACUCCACGGCUCCCGAGCUCCUCGGGCUCCUACUUGACGGGGAUGAACCUCAAUCUCCUCUGGCUCCUCCGACCACUCCCGCUUUACGGGGAGAAGGCCCGCACCGGAAGAGGAGGAGCUCGUGGCGUACGAAGAUCUUCUCGCGGAGGACGAGCCCGCGGUCGAGGAUGGCGUACGGCCGUGCCGACGGCCUGCAUCAACUAGACGAGAAGCAAAUUUAUAUGUUGCCACUAUCUGAAGCCAGCACAAAGGAGCCAACGGAUCCUAUGCUUCAGAUGAUAGAUACUGCAGUGCAGAGCCAAAAUCCUCUUCGGUUUCAGUGUGGCAUCUAUGGCCUGAGGAAGCCGUGGUUGAUGAAUUCUUGUAACGACAACCGGAGGGGAGGGAGGAUAGGGAAUGGGGAAGGGUGGAGAGGGAGGAAGGAGGAAGGAGGAAGGAGGAGAGGUACCUGGUCGCCGGAGGGGUCGGGAUCCCUAGGGCUCGGGGCCGGCACAAGACCACGCCAGAUCCCUAGAGGCGGUCGUCGUCUCCUCCUCCUCCUCGUCCUCCUCCUGUAUCUUGGGUACCAGCAAACCCUAGUAUUGAGUGCAAAUGGAUGGAGAAGGAUUUUGGGGCGCCUGUACUAUGAAUCAGCAUCGGAUCCUUUUGCAAAAGUCGUCGGGGAUGAUGCAAAUAUUGUUGAGACUGGUGCAUCGGGCAGCCCGGUCACGGGCGGCGGCGACUUUUGCUGCGGCGGCGCGUCAUCUGACUUCAGAUCGGCAGCGGCAUGGAGGGCCUUAGUCAACCCGCCGCCGGCCCUCCUCUACGUCACCACCAAGUCCCACGACCACCAAAAAUCAUCAGAUCCGACCAUCCCGACCUUCUAUGCAGCGCAUCCACCUUGUCCUUGCUCCACACCAUGUCAUCAGUCACCGUGGCUCCGUCGGACACUGGCCCUGGCGGCCCCCGUGCUCUCUCGUAACACCUUUUCCAGGAACCCCUGCUUCAGCUACUCUUCCUCAACAAUUGCUUGGCACCGGAUUCAGCGUUGCGUCGUCGCCCGGCCGCCCUCAUCCCCAGGGACCAGCCCGUCGUCGAUGCGCACAUCCUCGCCAGCGGGGCCGAAGGCACAUCCUCUGCAGCAUGGCCAUCAAGAACGGUCUCACGCACACCCUGUCGCGCAUCUGCAGAACGUCAUGGGCCUCGACACGCUCUACGACUUUGCCAAGCAGUGGUCUUAUGCAUCGGUGGGCGUUGACAAGUUCAUCAACAAGGCGGAGAUCAAGGCGGCGCUGGGCAUGCGCCCGGACGUGACAUGGGAGGAGUGCAACGACGCGGUGGUGGCAGCCACGCAUGAGUAUGUGAUGAAGAGCAUGUUGUCGGAGGUGGCAGCUUCAUACUGCACUUCAUCCCGUUGUCGUGGCCAAGCCCUGCUCAGCCUGACUCGUUUUUCCUCGUUCCAACUAGGCCUUGCUCAGAAAAUGGAAUGCAAGACUAGGAUGGUUAGGGCGUUCACCUCCCUCCUUGCUACCUCCUGCAGCACCUCGCUCGCCACCGUCCACCAAGCCACUAUUCUUGUCCCAUGGUCUUUUUUCAGAAAAAAAAACAAGCGAAUUCCCGACAAGCCCCUUAACUUCCUGUCGUCUCCCCCGCUCCUCUCCCGCGCCGGAGCUCCCCUGCUCGGCUCCCCCGCGCGUAGCCGAAGCUCCUCCGCCCGACGCCUCCCCCACAGCUUCCCUCUCCUUGUCCCCUCCCCCUUCCUCAUGGUGAUCCAAGGCGAGGAGAAGGCUCGAUUUUUCUUCCGACGGCGGCGGCCUUCUCUGAGUUCGAUUCUCUCCAAACCCUCGUCCUCGGCGCCAUGGCGGCGGCGGCCGUUUCCGGGUCGUCCUCCUCCUCGGUGCUUCGGUAGCAGCUCGCCCGCGGCGGCGGCAGGAGCGAGCAGCAGCAGUGGCCGCGCGAGUAUGCAGCGAAGGAGGUCACCUUUGGCGUCGGCGCGCACGCCGCCAUGCUGCGCCGGAAGCCCUGUCUCGCAUGCGUGGUCGGUGUUGCAACAGCCGCUUCUCCUUUGCCAUGGGCAUCCUUUUGUUGCCUUUCCUACUGUUGACAAGACCAGGGUGACCAUCAGGGAGCAGAAGGAGGUCACCGUCCAGCUAAUUAACUACACCAAGAGCGGGAAGAAGUUCUGGAACUUGUUUUACCUGCAGCCUAUGUGGGUUCAGAAGAAUCUUCCUGUUCUCCCAUUGUUACCAAGCAUGAUCUUGCUUGCAUUGCCGCCUUUGCUACAUGAAGCAAUAGGGUGCCCCCACCAGUGGAAGAAGAUCCAGUGUCGAAACAACCCUGCUAUCCCAGCCUCUGUUCCAUAUCGACGCCCUCCGCUGCAAUAUGUCCCAAAAUUCAGAACUAGUCUUCUGCAAGCGCUCACAAGGAAGCAGCAGAGUCAGAGGAAGACGGCAACAGCAGAAGAGGACGGAGUGGCGGAAUACAGCGCGCCGUCAGCCGUGGAGCCGCCGCCCGUCGAGGUGCGCGCAGGUAAGCAGGGGCGGCGCAAAUUGGCAGCCGCGGCUCAGGUGGGCCUUCGUCGCCGGCUGAACACCACGGUGGCUGGGGCGUGCGGUGCAGCGGCGAGGGAGGUGGAAGAAGCAGACGGUUGCUUCGAGUUGGAUUAG
rnacentral:rRNA from 1 species